AUGCAAUUAAAUAAUUGGAAACGAAGUGUACCACACGCCGGUGGCCGACGGACAGGCCAGGCCAGGGAGGUCUCAUUCGAGAGAAGUUUGAGAACAUGCCCGAUGUUCAGCAACCUGACAAGCCUGGUCCUGGGUGAGUGGUGCAUGGCUGCUGACUUCUACCCGCUGCUUCGCAUCCUCCAGCGCUCGUGCAAGCUGAAGGAGCUAAAACUUAAGCUCACAAUGGAGAAAUUCAGUACAUGCAUGGAUUCUGAACCUGAUCUGUCGUCAACCAGAGGAGCACCGCCGCCGGGCUCAGGCGGCCACCCUUGCAUCGAGAGGGUCAAAAUCUACUGCCAUGAAGAUGAUCCAAGGGUCAGCUCGUUGAUGCAGGCGUUGCAGCCGGUUGUCGGCGAUGUGGAAAUCAUCAUCGAGCAUCGCUGA
rnacentral:rRNA from 1 species